UCUUCAAAAUAAGAUAUGCGCAAGCAAUAGAGGUGUGGGAGAGGGAGGAGCGUUCUAACAGUUUUCUACUUCUCAGACCACUACCAGAGAGCGGAGUGCAGCUGAUAUCAGCAUUUCCUAGGGACUUUUGUCUCAGAGUAUUCUGUUCUCAUGCUUUCAAGAUAAUGAAAUCAUACUGGCAUUAUGGUAUGGUAAUAAUCAGAUAGUGUGUUUUUAAACUUUGCGGAAUGAUGUGUGGAUCAAUAUAUUCAUUAGUGGCCUGAAAAAGAAGUACAAGAAGCCAGAUCUUCAAAUGAAGCUAGUAGGAGCUAGUUCUAAAGCAAAAAAGAGGUGAUGUUUCUCGCAAUGGGUGGUGGAUCUGUGAAAGUCCUUGCUCGUGGAUGUUUUGACUGCAAAAAGAUAAAGGGAAAACAAGGAGACUGAGCAACUAUCAGAGAGAGAUUGAGGGUUUCCAAUAGACAUUCUGUCAGACUUGGGAUGUUCUUGGAGCUGAUAGAAGAAGCUGAGGGAGGUUGUGAGGAAGUAUUGUUUGCCCUGUUCUGCCUCUUCCCUGGACAUUGGCUUACAACCACCUUUGGAGACAGGUUACUGUGCCACAUAAACCUGACUGUUCUUACUGACAGAUAAGAUCUUUUGGACAGAGAUUUAACCUGAUUGUUCUGUCACCACAUGAUUUUUCUUGUUUUGUAAGUGGGCUUCAUUUUGCUCGAGUCUGUGCAAGCUGGUCAUGACUCCCUCUGUAGGUAACAGAAAGCAAUUGCUAGGAUGAAUUGCCUUUUGGAGAUGCUUGUAUCUCUGACCAGUCAGAACAGAUGGAUUUUCUUGAUGGCUAGUAUGUCCUUUGGUGACCAACAGCUGUUUAGGGUCCUUGUGAGUUUGAUUUUUAUCUGCCACUGGUCAGAAGUCUGCAGCACCUAGGCAUCUAUCAUGGUAACUAAAUGACUAACGUUGUUGUAUGUUGUACUGAUCUAAGUAAA